AGGAGCCCGUCGUAGGGAAGGCGAGCUUUGCUCUGGAAAUGAAUGACUCCCGGAGACGAACGCCCGAGGCCGGGAGUGCGCCCCCUGCCGCCCGGAGGAAUGCCAGGCCUCCUGAAAUCCCAUCUCCGGGGAGUGGAAGGGCGAGCUCUUGGGAUGAGGCAAAAUGGAGCGACCGAGACAGACGGACAGAAAAAGAGCAGAUUCUGCCUACUGCGAGCCCCCGAGUUGGGCAUCGAUUCCGGGAAGAAUUCCAGAUAGAUCCCGAAAGGAGUGGUUUUCUACACAAAUUUUCAUUGGUAAAGAGGGGGCCGCUGGGUGGCUCAGUGGAUGGAGAGCCAGGCCUAGAGAUGGGAGGUCCUGGGUUCAAAUAUGGCCUCAGACCCUUCCCAGCUGUGUGACCCUGGGCAAGUCAUUUAACCCCCAUUGCCUAGCCCUUACCACUCUUCUGCCUUGGAGCAGCAUUGACUCCAAAAGGUCAAGAAAUGAUUGUAAAGAACUACCAGGACUUCAGGAAAACGGAGGCAUGUGAGGAGAGAGCCUGCUGGCCUCAAAGCACCCAUGUGACCUUUCCAAGAACAGUCAGUGUUGUGUGAAAGUUAAAUCUGUGGAAGUUUCAGAAUCUGUGAUAGAAAAUGGAGAGACGAUGAUGUUCUCAGAAAAGCCAAGAACACGAAGACCCCAGUAAGCAGAACCAGGAAGUGGCUCUAGCAGAUGGAGAACCUGAAAAAUCAAUAGAGGAGGGACAAGAAAUAUCUAAUCUCUCCUAUCACUGCUAGUUAUUCCUAAUAAAGAACACGUUGAUGGAGAAUUCAUUGGGCAGUAGAUUGUGAAAGAUAUUCCAUAUCUGGAGAAUUUGCAAAAGUUCAACAGAUUAAUUGAUGGACCAAUCAGUGUGCCAAAUGUGGAUGAAUGCAAGGAAUGCACUGGGGUCCUGGGAAAGCUGAAAUUACUUUCAGGCUUAAACUUACACUUAGCUAAACAAAAGACUUUAGAAGGACACAAUUCACCAGAUAUAAUCUGAUCAAGGCUGUGUACAGAAAGACUAUCUUCUUAUUUCUGGUGUGUAAAGUGUGUCUUUUUACUCCUUCAAAUAUUUGUUAUAUUAAAGUUACCAAGUAUUUCCCUUCCUUCCCCUCCCUGAAUUAGAGAGCAUAAUUUGACUAUUUGUAUGUGAAUGUAUAUUGUGAAGAUUGGAUUUAGCUAUCUCCUGAUUGUAACAAUGAAGAUGUUUAAUCUAACAAAA